GGGUCUUGCACCGGCGACAUAUCUAUCAAGUGUCUGCCUUAUCAACUUUCGAUGGUAGUUUAUGUGCCUACCAUGGUUGUAACGGGUAACGGAGAAUAAGGGUUCGACUCCGGAGAGGGAGCCUGAGAAACGGCUACCACUUCCAAGGAAGGCAGCAGGCGCGCAAAUUACCCACUCUCAGCGUGAGGANGUAGUGACGAAAAAUAACGAGACCGUACUCAAUGAGGCCGGUUAUCGGAAUGGGUACAAUUUAAACCCGUUAACGGAGGAUCUAUGAGAGGGCAAGUCUGGUGCCAGCAGCCGCGGUAAUUCCAGCUCUCAAAGUGUAUAUCGCCAUUGCUGCGGUUAAAAAGCUCGUAGUUGGAUAUACGCCUUACGAUUCGGUCCAUCUAUUGGAUGUGAACUGAACUCGUUGGUUAAUUUAUUAUAUGCUGGUUUUCCCUACGUAGCCUUAGUCGGUUGCGUAGGGUGACUAGCGCGUUUACUUUGAAAAAAUUAGAGUGCUCAACGCGGGCUAACGCCUGAGUACUCGUGCAUGGAAUAAUGGAAUAGGAUCUCGGUUCUAUUUUGGGUUUUCUGAUCUGUGAUGGUUAAGGGGACAGACGGGGGCAUUC
rnacentral:rRNA from 1 species